UGUAAUUCCAGGGACUUGAAUGGAAUUUACUCAUGAUUUACACCAACGUGAGAUCAAAAUCAGGCCUAAACCAUGUAGCUAUCCAUACUAAGAUAAGAUGACCAGGAGAGGUCAGGACAGAAUCACCACAUACAGCAUUACUAAAUGCAUUAUGGAUUUUUGUUUGAUAAUUUCCAGGAUGUUAGAAAUGAGAGAAUAAACAAUCAACGAUUGUCUGACCCAUGCCUCAUUCUGGGCACAGGAUGGACUAUAGUCAGGGGUUGCAUCAGAGCUAAUGGAGCAUUUGUUGCAGAAGCUGGAAGGUGUGUAGUGAAUAACACACAGGAUUUCAGGAAGAGAAAGGAUAGUCUCAUGGUUAAGGUAAUUGAAUGCUGCCUUGAAGAACGGGAUUCUACUCCUGCCUCUGUCAUCAUUCCUAUGUGGUGAUUCUGGGUACCCAACUUGAAACACCUGUCACCAGAUUUGCCCGUUACUUUGGGGUAUGCUCAUUUAUUAGGGUUACUCUUCUGGGACAGGGGUUCUGUAAUUCUGUCAAUGUACUGCUUGUGUCACUUGUGUUCUCAUACAGAGCUCUACUUCUCCUUGCUGCAAGUUUCCUCCCACUGGCACUGUUCUGCAGGACCUAGGUUCCCCAGGGCUGGGUUCAGCACUCCCAAGCUGACCCCUUAUAUGUCCCUAGACUCAGCAGGCUGGUCGAGCAGCCUUCCCAAGCUGUCACCCUCAUAUGCCAUGGACACCGCACUGGGAUAGAAUACGCAUGAGCAGGCUGGGUUGAGCAGCACUUUCAAUCUGUCACCCUUAUAUGUCCCAGGUUCAGCAAGCCUCUAUCCCCACUUUCACAUUACAAUUGUUCUGGUAGUAACCCACUUGAUGAGCAAACCCCACCGGAUCUUUGGGUACUGCAGGGAUCUUUUAUCUUAGGUAUGAGGAGCAUUGCUGCAGAACGAAUGAGGAAACCAAAAAACACCCCGCCCCCGGGGGGUUGGGAGGAGGAGGAAGGGAGGGAAAGAGAGAGAGAGAGAAGCAACCAGAUUAACCAUGAAAGUUUUUUAUUGCCAGGUAAUAACCAUAGGGGAGCCAAACAAACAAAACAGUUAUAAUAUUAAAUCUAACUUAAAUUUGAUGAUAAAGGUCAGGUUUAGAAAACUAUAACUGAUCACACAAGUCAGGGUCAGAAAGCUAUAUCUAGAGAGAGAGUGAGCUGGGGUCUCACCACUUCAUGAAGCUUGAAUCAAUCGGGGGUUCCAGGUGGUGGUGGUAGCUGAGGAUCCAGAGUGCUGCAGACAGGCAGAGCCCCCAGCAUGAUCAGUCAGGGGAAGAUGAAGUCCCAAUGGAAUUGAUGCAGAUUUUGGAUCCAGGCAUCAGAACACUUACUUGAGAAUGGGUAGUGUUUUUUUUAGAGAAAUAACAAUGGUUCAAGGGAGAACAUUAGAUUUUGUUUAUGUGAUGGCUCAAGGGAGUAUAACAAAGUUGUUUUCUUCAGGCUAGACAAUAGCCAGGAAUGACCAGCUGUGGGCAGUGUUGCUUGGAGGGAGCUCACAAUGCAAUUAGGGAGCUUCACUAUUUUGGAUACCAAUAAAGGAUUUAUAACUAGAAUUGGUCUGAUAACUACUGAGCUGGGUGUGUGCAGGCAUGGGUUCAUUAACAUCUGGAGCAGAAAUCCCCCAUCAUGCAGUGCUUCCCUGUUUUUCUGGUCCCAUAGUUCCUUGCGGUUCUUGCCUUGGAAUCUCUGUUCUCCAUUCUGUAUGCUAAUGGAGAUGCCUCACUGUCCCAUCUUCAAUGCAAAUGAAGCUAGGGGAGUUUCCUUAAUUUUGUCACCCUUAUCCCAGGGGUUUAGGUGUCUCCCCCUCUGCCUUUUCAUUGUUUUUUUUGGAAGUCUUUGGUUCAAGCAGAGGCUGGGGGGCGGGGAGGUCUUUUGUGACUCAGACAGGCUGGGUACUGGGCUCUGGUUCCCCAAGAACACAGAGCUGCUAGGUAACACACCUGGAGUCCGAUUUUAAAAAGCGUUAAGCACUCACAGCUGUAACUGAAGUCAACAGGAGCUGUGCUCUGAACAAAUAAAGUGCAAUAAAAUAUUGAGUUCUCUGAAAAAAACCCAGAUUAUAGGCAUCUCAAAUUGGGAACUCAAAAUUAGUGUUCGCUUUGGACGUUAACUUCUCUUUGCCUCAGUCGUUCAUCUGUUAAAAUGGGAAUAACAGUACCACUUUAGCUCAAAGGGGUUUUGUGAGGAUAAAUCCAUUAAUGUUCCAAAGCACUCAGAUGAUGCCAUGAUGAGUGCCAUGGAAAAGCCCAUGAAGAAAUAAAUAAUUCAGUAUAGGGCUUCCCAACAACAAAUAUCAAUGUUUAACCAUCUUUUUCACAUGUAUUGUACACACUGCACUAUAUUAUAUCUGAAAACAUAACCCAAUGUCUCUGGGAUUUCUUUUGUAUCACUGUGUUUUGUAUCUGUGUUUACAAAGACUGAUGUUUCUUAAAGCCUUACUGUAUUGCUCAUGAAGCAAAAUGACCUUCUCUUCACCCAACACCUGCUCUUCACCCAUCACUUGAAAGAAUGAGGGUGAACAUUCCUUCCACAUGUACCUCAAAGUUCCUGGAAUUCCAUGUACACAAUAAAGACUUGCUCCUUUUCGAUCUUUCAUACCAUCCAAAUUUAUGAUAAUCAGUGCACUUAAAGCUUCUGAAUUUUAGUUCUACUUUCUUAUUUCCAACCAUUGAGCCCAGUCCAAAUUCAGCCGUUGGAUUCUUCAGCAUUUUUUCAACAUUGUGUAAAAUCAGUUAUUUCAGCUAAUUUUCAUAAUUCCCUGAUUUCAUCUGUCAGCGGAUUUUUUUCAUUGCUUAUUCUGAUUUUAUCCAGAGUCUUAAUAAACUUCUCCAGCUUCUUCG